GUUUCUGUAGUUGAAGUUUACAACGACGAUUUUU
rnacentral:tRNA from 1 species